CCCUGCCUUUUGUACACACCGCCCGUCGCACCUACCGAUUGAACGGUCCGGUGAAAUCUUGGGAUUUGUUUGUGCUGGCUUUGCUGUCGGCGCCGACGAAGAACUUGAGUAAACCUUACCGUUUAGAG
rnacentral:rRNA from 1 species